GCUCUUUAUUGGCUCCCGCAGCACUUGGCACUCUCAGCACUGGAAAGAAAAAGCUUUUUGUUCCCAUAUUUCCAUAUAUUUAUAUGGAUUUAACUGGGUUGGGGAGGGUAUUUGAAGGUCAGAGGACUUGCAGAGGUUACUGUGCUGGCCAGGCCCUGGGAACAGGGAACAGCCAUCCUGUGGGAACUCAUUCCCAGCUCACCCUUCCCUGUCUCUUUAUUUUCCCAGUGCUGCCCAUCACUAAACACUUUAAUUUCUUGUUUCUCUGGGAAAAACCACCAGCAAAUUCCACAGUGUGGAUUUAUGGAUGUGCCAUUCCCAAGCUGGGGUGGGAAAAGCAACACGAGCUGGGGCUGUGACCCCAAACUGCUCCACAGAGCGUCGGGACCAACACGAUUUCGACAGAACUAAGAGUUUUCCUGGCUCCCCCUUCCCAGGGCAGGGCUCCCGUCGCUUCCCAGAGUUUUCCCUGUUUUCCUGGAGGAGUCAACAAGCCAGUCCUUCCUCCUUGGCAAUUCCUGACCAUCGGGAGCUCCGUAUCUUGGGAAGAUUCUUCUGGAGAAGAGCUGGUCCAUCCUCCUGGUGGUCUCUUUGGGAGCCCCAAAACCAUCCCUGGAGUGAGGAACAAGACUUCCCUUCCCAGGAAAAUCCUCUUCUCUUCCCAGGAAAAGCCUCUUCCCUUCCCAGCAAAACCAGGAAAACCCCUUUUCCAGGAAAACCUUCUUCCCUUCCCAGGAAAACCCUUUUUCCAGAAAACCCUCUUCCCUUUCCAGCAGAACCCUUUCCCCUCUCCUUGGCCCUUGCACUGAGGAUUUCCUUCCUUCAAAGCUCCCCCAAAUCAGAUCCAGUGGCCACGUUCCCAUGUUGGAUUUGAUAUUUGCAGGGUGGACUCGAUGAUCUCGGAUGUUUUUCCCAGCCUGGAUAAAUCCUGGGAUUCUGUGCUCCCCACUCCACCAGGGAGCUGCAGAUCCCUGGGGGGGUAAAGGACGAUUCCAGCUGCUCCCGGUGGAUUUUUCACACCUUGGGAACAUCUGGCUGCCAUCCUCCCACCCCCAGGCUCUUCAUUGCCUGCUCCAUGGGCAAUCCCGCAUUCCAGGGCUUUUCCCUGUGGCUCAGGAAUGCUGUGCUCUCCAAGGAGCCGGGACAGGCAGGGCUGGCACUCCCCGCAAUGCCAGCGUGCUUGCAGGGCCAGGAAUGCUGCCCCACCUGGAGCUGGAUCCCAUUCCAGCAUCUCCUGACACCCUCCAUGGUGGCACAGCCAGGGCUGGGAGCAUCCCAAAAAUCAGCGUCAGGCUCCUCUGGGAACGAGUCCUGCAGCUUUCCAUGGGAAUUCCUUCUCCUUUGGGAGUCUCUGGGCAGCACAGAGGGGCCUGAGCAGCACCCAGGGGCUGUCCUGGUCCCUUACACCAUCAGAGGGUGACACAAAAGCUGUGGCAGAGCCUUGGAGAGCUCCAGGUUUGGUUUUUUUUUGUUGUUUUUUUUUUUUUGGGAGAUGAUGUCUGACAGCUCUGUGUCCCGUGGGCUCGUGGCUCUGAAGGAAAUGCCACUGAAAAAGGGAGUAAAACUUCAGAAUUCAAUUCCAAAACUGGAAAUUUGCCUUUGGAAAUCCCGGACAUCCAAUCCCACGGCUCUGUGAGCCCACGGGAGCCCUCGGCACACCCAGCUCAGGUGGUGCUGGAUCAGUGACUCUUCCCCCUGUCCCAGGCUGCUCCAAGCCUCAUCCAGCCCGGCCUUGGGCACUUCCAGGGAUCCAGGGGCAGGAUAAGCUCCAUCACUUGCAGCCUUUUCCCAGCUCUUUCCUCUCUGUGAGCCCCGUUUCUGCCUCUUGCCAAACAGGUUUGAAUUUCCAGACCGUGGCUAUGAAAACGCAGCUCAACCCCCUCCUGCACAGCGCUAAAAUAUGGCUUUUUCCCCUUUUUAAUAUCCCCUAAACGAUGACCUUUUCCCUCCUUCAGCAGGCAGCCAACACAAGCACAACAAUGUGAUUUGUGCAGCGUUUCAGCUGUGGUUUCUUCAAGAAAUUCAUCUGCUCUCGAAGCAAUUACGGGCAGGGAAGCAUUUCCACUCCGGCUUCGGGCCCUGAAAAGCUGCCAGGAGGGAUUUUUUUUCCUUCCCCUCCUCUCUCCCUCUUGCUCCCUCAGCCCCCCCUUGUCCUAAAAAAAAACUUCUGUGGUUUCGUUUCAGCAGCAAUUCUGGAAUGGUUAAAUCCCAGCCUGGUGCAGGUGGGAAGGGGCUGGAUCCGUGUCCCUGUCCCUGCUGGAGUGGGACCGGGUUUGUGCAGGAUCAUCCCCCCUGAGCAGCACCUUCUCCUGGAGGGGACACCGGGCACGGUGCCACCCCCUCCUCGUGCCUGCUGUGCCCUUCAGGACCUUCCCCACAGCACGUGGGGUCCAGAGGGCAGAGGGAACCCGCGGGACACGGCUCCAUCCCGCUGGGCGACUCUGCCAGCACCCAGGGCUUGGGACAACGGGCCUUAAAUGAGCCCCGAAGUCAACAGCACGGUUAAUUGCUCAUUCAUUCCUCGGAUGGGUUAAUAAUUAAGUUAAAUUAAUAAUUGGGAGAAUAAUUAAACAAAACAAUAACCCGUACCCGGCACGAUUGAAGCGCUCGCUGUUCGUGCCGGGGUUUUGGGGUUACUCAUUCACUUUAGGGCCGCUGUGGCGUCGGGCUGGCUGUGCCAGGGAUGCGGCUCCAAGAAUCCCGUGGAAAACCGGACUUUUCCAGGCAAAACCAUCGGCUCUUCCCUCCCCUGGAGAGCGGCGGGGUCCCGGUGAGGAGCGGAGCUUCCCCGACCCCCGGCUCCUCCCGAACCGCCCGCGCCCUCCCCUCCCCGCGGAGGGACGGACGGACGGACGGACAGAGGGAGAGAGGGACGGACAGAAGGGCGGAGGGAGGCGGCUCUAGGCCGGGGGGGAGGAACUACAAGUCCCGUGAAGCCGCACCGCCCGCCCGCCGCCGCGGGGCUAUAAAAGGGGGAAUGGCCCGGCAGCCGCAGUCGGAGCAUCCCUGGCUGCGGCGGAGCCGCUCCCGCUGCCCAUCCCGGCGCUCCCGGGGCUAUUCCCGGUGGGAGCGGGCCGAUAUCCGGACCCCCGGAGCGGGCUGGGGCUCUGCAGAAGGAGGACGAGGAGGAUGCCGCUCGGCGCACCGGGGGAGCCGCAGCCCCGGGCGGCUUCGGGCGCUGCCGGCGGAGGCGGAGGUUUCGGCAUUCCUGCAGGGACAGCUCCCGUCGGCCCCGGGAGCUGCUGGAACCUCCUUGUGCCAGCGGUGGGGACGCCAGGACAGGAGUGGCACUUGUCCCCUCGGCCAGGGAAAGGCUCCCGAGCCGGGAUUUGGCCCUGGAUGGUUCCUCUGCGCUGGGAUCCCGAGCCCCGAGCCUCGCCUGGGGUUUGGAUGCUCCCUUCUGUCUGCAGCUGGGAAUGGCACGGCCGUGCCUCCUGCUCCUCCCAAAUCCCGUGGAUUUACUGCUUUUGGCAUCGUCCUGCUGCGACUGGCUCCGGCACAGGGAAUCUCCCGAGGGACAGAUGGGAAAAGCAGCACUUAUCACAGCCUGAGGCUACAAUUCCCUCUUUUUCUGGGCUACUCUGAGCAUGCUGGCUCUGCAGGAAGAAGGAUUCCAUGCACUCCUGGAGGACAAAUCCUGCUGCUCUGAUGCCUCACCAUCGAUUCUGUGCCUCAAGCCCUGCCCUGCUCGAUGCUCCUGGAGGGUUUUUGGUGCCACUCUCCAGAUUCAGGCACCCAAAAAGGGACAAAGAGCCCCAAAUCCACUCCCCUCUGAGCACCAAAUUCCAGGGUCCGUGCUGAAGGCUCGGGGUGAGGGACAGAGGGACAGCCAGGACAGCCAGGAGCAGCUCCCGGGGACAGGACGGACACUGCAGCUGGAGCUGAGGGGCCACCAGGGCCACCAGGGACCAGCAGGGACCAGCAGGGACCAGCAGGGACCAGCAGCUCCCCUGGGCAGCGAUGGAACGUCAGGGCUGGGAGAGGCUCUGCCCCGAGCUCCAAACACAAAUCCAGCUCCACACCCCCCAGCCUGGCUGGGCUGCACAUCCCUGCAGGAGCUGAGCUGCUCCCACCUGGAACUGACAGGACUAAUGAGCAACUUUCUGCUGGGCUUUGGGAAUUACCCUUUUGGAUCCUGCCAAUGGAUGGAUGGAUGAAUGGAGAAGAGCUCUUGGGUCGAGCAGGAGCUCAGUGCUGUUCUCUGCCAAGGACCAAGCGCUUCCCUGGUUUCCAGUGGAUUUUUUUUUUUUUUUUUGGUGUUUAUUUUUACCCCUCUGCUUUUUUUUUUGCUGCUUUUUGGGGCUUUGGGUGUUUCCUGAGGAUGCUGGAGCUGCAGUGGAUCCCGUGGUGGGAGCUGGAGCCUUUGGAAGAGCAGGAGCUGAGCUGGUGCUGGGCUUUCAGAGUGGCAGAGGCUCAUCCUGUGCUGGGUGGCCUCAGGAGGCUCCUUCUGCCCCAGCUGGAGCAUUCCCAGUGCAUCCCAGUCCAGGUGGGACCGUGGAGCAGGAGCAGGAAUGGGAGGGAAGCCCAACCCCAGCGAGGGGAAUGUCACAGUGAGGGGAAUGUCACCCUCAGAGACAAUUAAAUUGCAUUUAAUAAACCAACCCCACUGGC